rnacentral:rRNA from 1 species
UACGAAGGGUGCAAGCGUUACUCGGAAUUACUGGGCGUAAAGCGUGCGUAGGUGGUUUGUUAAGUCUGUUGUGAAAGCCCCGGGCUCAACCUGGGAAUGGCAAUGGAUACUGGCAAGCUAGAGUGCGGUAGAGGGUGAGUGGAAUUCCCGGGUGUAGCGGUGAAAUGCGUAGAGAUCGGGAGGAACACCAGUGGCGAAGGCGGCUACCUGGACCAGCACUGACACUGAGGCACGAAGCGUGGGGAGCAAACAGGG